GAGGGUAUAGCUCAGUGGUAGAGUACCUGCUUAGCAUGCAUGAGGUCCUGGGUUCAAUCCCCAGCACUGCCA
rnacentral:tRNA from 1 species